AACGGCCAUACCAUGCGGAAUAUCGGUUCUCGUUAGAUCAUCGAAGUCAAGCAUCAUUGACUGGGCGCGGUCAGUACUUGGGUGGGUGACCACCUGGGAACACCGCGUGCCGUU
rnacentral:rRNA from 1 species